rnacentral:lncRNA from 1 species
UUUCAGAUUCGAGCGUUGUAUAUUCCAGGCUCAAGUAAUGCAGGUGCAGAUUCUCUGUCUCGUUUUCGGGUGAUCCGUUCCCGUACAUUGGGACCGGAAGCAUUUAUUAUACCAGACAUUCCUAAUAUGAACUUUCAUAUGGUCAUUUCGAAACUGGAAUAUACUUUCAAAUAAACAAUUCGGUAGUUGAUAGUACAGAAAAGUUUAUCCGGGCUUUAAAUUUGUUAAAUGGUUUCAGGAAAGAUUUCGGUAUUGCCAAAGUAUAGCUUUCGUCCUUGCUGGACAUUGUUGCUCUUACUGCAUAUAUGUUAAAUUAGGAUUUGCUCAUUCAACAAUACGUACACAUCGAUCAGGCUUGAUCAGGCUUAAGCAUUUACAAUAAGCUAAAUGAUUAUGAAGACUUUACUAAAAAUUAAUAGUAAGCGAUGGUUUUGAGCGUUCAAGGUUGCUUCAGAUGGACACUAGGCUGACUUUUUAAGAGAGAUAUUGCAUCGUAUUUUGUCAAUAUGAUCAGGUAUAUGAAGUUCUGCAUACAAAGCUAGGCUAUUCCAGGCGGUUUUUUCCUUGGCUUGACGUGGUCUUUUUAUGCAUGGUUGGGGAGUUGACAGUUCAAAAUAUGAGCAAUGCAUGUUCUACAAAUCAUGCUUUAAACAAAAUGAUGUCAAAUUUACAAGAAAUAUGUAGAAAUUCAUUUGGUUUCAUCUAAGACCGAUCAGUUUGGUAGAGGGUUAACUAUACAC